rnacentral:rRNA from 1 species
GGGGGGGGCAAGCGUUGUUCGGAUUUACUGGGCGUAAAGGGCUCGUAGGCGGCCACCAAAGUCGAUUGUGAAAUCCCUCGGCUCAACCGGGGAACUGCGACCGAUACUGGGUGGCUUGAAGCCGGGAGAGGGAUGCGGAAUUCCAGGUGUAGCGGUGAAAUGCGUAGAUAUCUGGAGGAACACCCGUGGCGAAGGCGGCAUCCUGGACCGGCCUUGACGCUGAGGAGCGAAAGCUAGGGGAGCGAACGGGAUUAGAUACCCCGGGUAGUCCUAGCCCUAAACGAUGAAUGCUUGGUGUGGCGGGUAUCGAUCCCCUGCCGUGCCGUAGCUAACGCGUUAAGCAUUCCGCCUGGGGAGUACGGUCGCAAGGCUG